CUCCCUCUCUGUUUGUCUGUGGGCGUGGCAGCAGCAGCAGCAGCAGAGUGGCACACCUGAAUCAGAUCAGCUUAUCACCCUCUGGUUUUAUCCACCUGCUCUCUUCACCACUUUGCUGCUAGAUUAUUGCGUCCCAUAGGAAAUCUCCAGCGCCGUUCUGCUCUGCUUCCUGCUCGCCCGCACUCCUGAGUUCCUCAACGCCAGCUCCAGUUGACCCUGCCUGCCUGGAAACCUGGUCCUCUCAUCCACCUUACCCUCCGGAGAGACAAUGGGUGACGAACAGCAGCAAAUGGACUUUCAAUUAGAGAGAGAGAGGGAGUGCUGCGAACAGAAACGGCUAUUUACGUGCCUCUUCCUGCCAACUGAGUGAUUAUGAAUGCUGUAAUUAAUAUAUGUAAAUAAAUACUGCUGCUCGUGAUGACA